CCUCUUUUCCAUAUGUUCCCACGAUCCCCUUUUCCUCUUGUCCAUCUCCGCCGAUCAUAGUAUAUGCUAUUCACUUAUAAAAGCCUUUUUUUUUUCGCUAUUAGAUUUAUUUUUUCAAAUCCCUUUCCCCUUUUUCAUCUUUUCCAUCCACGCAAAACUGGUGCUGCUCGUCGCCGGUCGAAGCUGCCGAGGCCUCCAACGUGUCGCAUCAAUGCUUGACUCUCUGAUUUGAGAGGCUUGGGGUGUUAGGAACUAUUCAGUGUUAAGAAACGAUCAACUAAGAAUUAAAGGGGCUAACGAUGUGAUUGUUGUUGCCUCUAGUAAAGGUGGUGUUGGCAAGUCUACCAAUGAUGUUAAUUUGGCGGUAUCAUUAGCUAACAGGUGUGGAUUGAAUGUAGGAGUGCUUGAUGUAUAUGUGUACGGAGGUAAUAUUUCUAUCUUCCAGGAGAUGAUCUUUCUUCAGUCAAUGGAAAAAAAUGUGAAAGUGUUCUAUUAGUAUAUUGAUUAAUUAUCCAUUAGUACAACACUUGUUUUGGAGAAUAAGUUCAUCUUCCUGAAACUGUCUUUUGCUAUGCAUUUGCCCUUUUAUCAAUAUCAUUUGUUGUUUAGUAAAUAUCCUUUGCCAAAUUUCCCAAGAAACUCUUUCUCGAAACUAACAUACAGAUAUGAAGAUGAUUCCUAUUGAGAACUAUGGAGUGAAGUGUAUGUCAAUGGGAUUUCCGGUGGAUAAGGAUGCGCCAACCGUGUGGAGAGAACCCAUGAUAUUCAAAUUUAUAUAGGUUUUGUCUUAUUUUUCUUUCCUUCA